rnacentral:lncRNA from 1 species
CACUCAGACCUGUGUAGUCUACCGACCUAUUUUGUUUUUCAUCUUUAGGAAAAAAGGGGUGUUGGAAACAUUCUCCGGAACAGAAACCAACAAGAUCUGGCCCCACGUAUACUCCUUCCUGCAAAUGAAAGUUCCAGAAACCAUCCAAAAAGCCUCUGUUACUCCCUGAGGAAGGCACUUGGCGGGAUGAAGCAGGGCCUCCUCCACUCCUCCCCUCGCCUCUGUAUUUCGAAGCUCUUUUCCUAAGACUUCUCUGAAAAUUAUGAUUUAGUCCUAAUGGCUCUGCCUAAUGAGUCAGAAACUAAGGCUGACCGUGUGUUUAUCUAGUUGUCUUCCAUGGAUGUGCAAUUCAAAACGUCAGACAUGUUGAAACAAACAAACUCAGAGCACAAUUAAGAGAGCAACUGGUGGGGUUGGGGAUUUAGCUCAGUGGUAGAGCGCUUGCCUAGGAAGUACAAGGCCCUGGGUUCGGUCCCCAGCUCCGAAAAAAAAAAGAACCAAAAAAAAAAAAGAACCAAAAAAAAAAAAAAAAAAAAAAAAAAAAAGAGAGAGAGCAACUGGUAAUCAUCUAACCUUUGUUCAGUUAGUCAGAGUGGUUGAUCACAUUUUCAUGUUUUUCUGGAAAAGUUCAAAAAAAAAUUACAUGUCACUCGAGGCAGCUAAAUAUCUCAUUGGAGGCUUUUGCAUAAGGCAGUGCCCACUGCGAUCGAGAAAGAUGCUUUCUAGCCCGGGGAUGUGGUAUUGGGAGAUGCUGUCUAUAGAGUCCAGAAAGAAAGCUACAAGCGUUACAGAUGCCGCUAGCCGCACACUCACUGCUGCCUUACAGCAAGAGCCAGGGCACAGGGGCCAGGCUGUGCACCCUCUACUUACCCAGUCUUCUAUGAAAACGCAGCCACUGGCACUUAGGAACACAUGACUUGGAUCUGGAUCGUCCUCUUUUUCAAACAUGUGUGGACUGAGGUAUGUGGUUGUGUUCACUGACCUAGGUUCUAGGAGGAGCACUGGCAACUGACAAUGGAAUGAAGUCCUAAGUUUUCACAUGCCACUCAGAUGGAGGACCAUGUUUUAGGACAUACCUCUCAGUUUCCCACUCUGAUCCAAAUGGACUGCCUGCCUUGAUGAGCAAGACAGUAAACAGAAAACUAAAGGGUAAGACACAAUACCCAUGGCAGUUUGCCACUGCGGAAGUAGAUGGGGCAUGGGGACAGCCCCUUGACAGAAAGACCAAUCGACAGGUGUAGUAACAGAAGGAUUUUGCACAGUGGGUUCAAAAGCACUGUAAAGGAACUCCCUUACGGACAUUUUAUACCUGGGUUGAAGUUCUAAAUUCAAGAUCCUCUUGUCUUGGCCUCUCUCAAGUGCUGGGAUCACUGUGUGCUACAGCUUCCCACCCUACCUUAAAGGGAAACAACUCCUCAGGUGCCAUCCAAGCAGCCUCCUCAUCUACCUACAGUGCUGGCAUCCAAUCCAGCCUGUGCACUGGGCAAACAUCCUACUCUGUCCUUGCUCUCCAGCCCUUUUUGUUGAUGCUGUUGGUGGUGAUGACUCAGUUUUGUUUUGACACAGUUUGGUUUUAGUUCUCCUGAACUAUGUAGACAGGCUGGCGUCAAACUCAGAGAUCACCUGUCUCUGCUUCCCAAGUACUGAGGUGUAAGGUGUGUGCACCAGCAUGACACCCAGCCCAAGUCCUUAGUUUUUGAAGCGGGUCUUACUAUGUAGCCCAGGCUGGCUUGAGACUAUUAUAGUCCAAACUGGCCUCACAUUCAUCAUUCAUGGUCCUCUUGUUUUAGUUUCCUGAGUGCUUAAAUUACAGGUGUGUACCACUAAAUCAACUCUGAGAACCUAUUUUAAAAUGUCAGUCACUUUAGUUUCCUUAGUGGGACAAGGACCUGUCCUUACAUAUUGUGGCCUGAAGGGACAAAAUAUGAGAAGUUUAAUAAAAGGACAAUUCCACUGUUUAUUUUCCUUGGUGCUAAAUUAAAGAAUCAAGCCCUUGUUCGAGCCUUUGAAAUUUUGGCCUACUUUAUUUCAGACACUCAAAAUACAAAUGCCAACAAAUGGUUCUGAUAUAUUUGAGAGUGGGAAGGAAUCUCUGAUGUUUAAAUUUCACUGUUGAUCUUUCAAAAUGGACUAGGCUUAGGAUUACAAUGAACCUUUUGUCCUUUGUCAGUGUUUCUCUACUGCCUUAUCUGGAUUGUUGAUAACCACUUUCUAAACGCUGCUGUCAAGUACCUAAACCUGGAACUAUCCGCAGGUGGCAGCAGCACUGUGGCUGUUGCCCUUUGCCCCCGGCCCUUCACAGGGCCCUAAACCCCCUUCCUGUCUGCUGCCACAAUGUCUCACUGGUUUCUUUCUAAUAAAUGGUCUUCAAACAUUA